rnacentral:misc_RNA from 1 species
GAUGAAGAACGCAGCGAAAUGCGAUAAGUAAUGUGAAUUGCAGAAUUCAGUGAAUCAUCGAAUCUUUGAACGCACAUUGCGCCCCUUGGUAUUCCGAGGGGCAUGCCUGUUCGAGCGUCAUUAUAACCCCUCAAGCUCAGCUUGGUGUUGGGGCCUGCUGCACUGGCAGCCCUUAAAAUCAGUGGCGGCGCCAUCUGGCUCUAAGCGUAGUAAUUCUUCUCGCUAUGGAGUCCUGGUGGAUGCUUGCCAUCAACCCCCAAUUUUUCUAUGGUUGACCUCGGAUCAGGUAGGGAUACCCGCUGAACUUCAGCAUAUCAAUAAGCGGAGGA